rnacentral:rRNA from 1 species
ACUAACAAGGAUUCCCCUAGUAACGGCGAGUGAAGCGGGAAGAGCUCAAAUUUGAAAUCUGGCAGUCUUCGAUUGUCCGAGUUGUAAUCUAUAGAGGCGUUUUCCGUGCCGGACCGUGUCCAAGUCUCCUGGAAAGGAGUAUCAAAGAGGGUGAUAAUCCCGUACUUAACACGACCACCGGUGCUCUGUGAUACGUCUUCUACGAGUCGAGUUGUUUGGGAAUGCAGCUCAAAAUGGGUGGUGAAUUCCAUCUAAAGCUAAAUAUUGGCGAGAGACCGAUAGCGAACAAGUACCGUGAGGGAAAGAUGAAAAGCACUUUGGAAAGAGAGUUAAACAGUACGUGAAAUUGUUGAAAGGGAAACGAUUGAAGUCAGUCGUGUUCUUUGGAUUCAGCCAGUUCUGCUGGUCUACUUCCUUGGAACGGGUCAACAUCAGUUUUGUCCGGUGGAUAAAGGUAGUAGGAAUGUGACUUCUCCGGAAGUGUUAUAGCCUAUUAUCACAUACACUGGGUGAGACUGAGGACUGCAGCUCGCCUUUAUGGCCGGCCUUCGGGCACGUUCGAGCUUAGGAUGUUGACAUAAUGGCU